CCCUUAGAUGUCCUGGGCUGCACGCGCGCUACGCUGGAAGUUACGGAUUGAGAUACUACCUUGUCCGAAAUGGUCCGGGUAAUCACCUAAAAGCUUGUCAUAAUUGGAAUGGAUUAUUGUAACUAGUAAUCCUGAACGAGGAAUUCCUAGUAAGUCCCAGUCAACAGCUGGUGCUGAUUACGUCCCUGCCCUUUGUACACACCGCCCGUCGCUACUACUGAUUGGACGUUUAAGCAAGAUUUUUAAACACUGACAGUGUGUAGUUCACGCUAUACUACAGUGAGAAGAAGAAGAUCGAGCUUACUUGUCUAGAGGAAGUAAAAGUCGUAACA
rnacentral:rRNA from 1 species